UACGUAGGGGGCUAGCGUUGUCCGGAAUUAUUGGGCGUAAAGAGCGUGUAGGCGGCUUGUCAAGUCCGGUGUGAAAACUGAGGGCUCAACCCUCAGCCUGCACUGGAAACUGGCUUGCUAGAGUCCGGAAGAGGAGACUGGAAUUCCUGGUGUAGCGGUGAAAUGCGCAGAUAUCAGGAAGAACACCCGUGGCGAAGGCGGGUCUCUGGGACGGUACUGACGCUGAGACGCGAAAGCGUGGGGAGCAAACAGG
rnacentral:rRNA from 1 species